UACGGAGGGAGCAAGCGUUGUCCGGAAUCAUUGGGCGUAAAGCGCGCGUAGGUGGCCUCGUAAGUCCGCUGUGAAAGUCAAAGGCUCAACCUUUGAAAGCCGGUGGAUACUGUGAGGCUAGAGUACGGAAGAGGCGAGUGGAAUUCCUGGUGUAGCGGUGGAAUGCGCAGAUAUCAGGAGGAACACCAAUAGCGAAGGCAGCUCGCUGGGACGUAACUGACACUGAGGCGCGAAAGCGUGGGGAGCGAACAGG
rnacentral:rRNA from 1 species